AUUGCAGCCUGCAAAAUGAGAAUUUUCCAGCCUCCAAAAGACAGGGAGACUAAAUGGCACACUACUUUCCAGUCUCCUAACAGAUUAGCCAUGUUAUAAAUGGGUGUGUUGGAGGGACAGAUAAAAUACACCUGGAGCUUGUGUAGAGAGAGAGGUUGGUGUGCAGGGAGGUGAGAAUUGAACUGACAGACCUGCAGCUGGGGUCUCUGUGGUUUUCCUUUUUUCAGCACCCCUGUGCAGCCUGGAACCCUGACUUUCACUUGGAAGGUUAAUUUUCCUUCAAAUGAGAAAUAGGUUUGGCUCCAGCAGUCAAAGCAAGGUUAAGAACCCGGACAGAGGAAUUGCACAGAGCUGAAUCCUGCAGAUCAUUGCAGGUCUUUCCUCUCCCGGUGGGCAGUGCUGGCAGCUGCCUCAGUGCUGAUCCUGGCAGAGGAGGUGCUGCUGCAGGACCACGGGAUGUAGGGCUGCUGUGAAUCCCCUGAGUCUCCUCAGAUGUGUGACCCCUGCCACCUGCUGCUGCAGCCAAAGCCAGAAAGUGUGUUUGAGAGCACGGGAGAAGAGAGGGGUAUUGGAAAUUCCUAAGGCAGGACAAAUGUCCAGACAUAAAGAGAAAGGAGCAUUGAUCAUUUUAUUGUUAAGUCUGAUGCUGCUGCUGCUAGAGCCCUUGGUCUGUGUGAAGCUGUGUUUUGGGGAAGACCACAAAGCCUUCAGUGUAUGAUUUACUGGAGCAGAAAAACUUGCUCAUCCCUUCCUUGGCUCACCUGAGUUGAAAAUACAAUCUCCUCUUAAAACAAGCCUGUGCACAGCUGGGUGUAAUUCAGCCCACAGCUUCUGCUGCCUUAAUUCACAAAGAUCAAUUUACAGAGGAAAGCCUCCAGCUAACUGAUGCCAGGUGGUGGCUUUGGCUUCCUGAGGGGGUGGGUGACAAAUACAAGUGGCCUGAAACAAAUCAAGGGAUAAUGCUGUGCCACAGAACGGUGCUGGAUGCCUUCUGUCUGCGGGUAUCUAAUACAGCUAAUAAGCAGCUCACAUUACUGCCUGAUUUGGCAGGAAUUAUUACCUGCUGAAUGGCUUAAUAGAUUUCCAGUCCCUCUGUGUGUAAUUUUCACUCAUCCCCAAAGGAAAGCUAUAUAAUGUUUGCCAUAGUUGUUUGUGGAAUUGGGAUGCACCACAGGUGUCAUAAACUGCUCUGUAUUACAUGCCAUUUUGCUUCUGGUGGGGCUGUAAUUACUGGGAGCUCUUCUCUACUUGGGAUGUGAUUGUCCAAGGCAGGACCUUACACUGUCUGGCCUCCCUUUGUGACGGCAGUGUUUGCCUUCAUUAUCUUCAUUAUUGGUAAAUCUGCCCAAGUAACUCUUGGACAUCUUAAAAUAUGUUUAAGUGGUUGGAUUCAGAGGUGUUUUUUUAUCAGGG